GUCUACGGCCAUACCUCCCUGAAUGCACCCAAUCUCGUCUCAUCUUGGAGGCUAAGCAGGGUCGGGUCUGGUUAGUACUUGGACAGGAGGAAGGAAAUGUCAGUGGAGGCC
rnacentral:rRNA from 1 species